AAAGUGUAUAUUUGUUGUACUAACCCAGCUUUACUGGCACCGAACUGGAUGCAUUUGUCCUCUCUGGACCUGAAGGUAAGUUUGCAUAAUUUUAAAUAAUUGUCUGAUUUUCAUUAAUGUUCCCUGUUUGACUUGUAAAAUUGUAAAACAAAAUUAUAUUGGUUGUACCAACUUUACACCCAUCAAACUGGAAGGAUUCCUCCUCUCUGGACCUGAAGGUAAGUUUGCAUCAUUUUAAAUAAUUGUCUGAAUUUAUUUCAUGUUGGCUGUUUGACUCGUAAAAUUGUAGAAAAUGCAUAUUUGUUGUACUAACCCCAGUUUACAGGUACUUAAAUUUUGGGAUUUCUCCUCUCUGAACCUGAAGGUAAGUUUGCAUAAUUUUAAAUAAUUGUCUGAUUUUAUUUCAUGUUAGCUGUUUGACUCGUAAAAUUGUAGAAAAUGCAUAUUUGUUGUACUAACCCCAGUUUACAGGUACUUAAAUUGUGGGAUUUCUCCUCUCUGGACCUGAAGGUAAGUUUGCAUCAUUUUAAAUCAUUGUCUGAUUUUCAUUCAUGUUUCCUGCUUAACUUGUAAAAUUGUAGAAAAUUUAUAUUUGUUUUACUAACCCCAGUUUACAAGCAUUGAACUGGACACACAACAUAAAAUUGAAAACAAUCAAUUGAGAUUCCUUUUUAUGUUCUUUAAUGUCUCUUGAAAACUUCCUUAAUAUUGAUGUUAUUUAUUAAACUUUUUCCAACCAGUA